rnacentral:rRNA from 1 species
AUUGAACGCUGGCGGCAUGCUUUACACAUGCAAGUCGAACGGCAGCGCGGGCUUCUUCCUGGCGGCGAGUGGCGAACGGGCGAGUAAUGCAUCGGAACGUGCCCAGUAGUGGGGGAUAGCCCGGCGAAAGCCGGAUUAAUAUCGCACACGACCUGAGGGUGAAAGCGGGGGAUCGAAAGGCCUCGCGCUAUUUGCGCGGCCGAUGUCGGAUUAGCUAGCUGGUGUGGUAAAGGCUUACCAAGGCGACGAUCCGUAGCUGGUCUGAGUGGCCGACCAGCCACACUGGGACUGGGACACGGCCCAGACUCCUACGGGAGGCAGCAGUGAGGAAAUUUGGAGAAUGGGGGCAACCCUGGUCCAGCCAUGCCGCGUGCGGGGAGAAGGCCUUCGGGUUGGAAACCGCUUUUGUUCGGGAAGAAAUCCUCUGGGCUAAUACCCCGGGGGGAUGACGGUACCGGAAGAAUAAGCACCGGCUAACUACGUG